rnacentral:snoRNA from 1 species
UGGGGAUUAAAUCCCACCAUAAUUUUUUACAACACACCCAACAGGAGUCUAGGAUCAUUGUGACAAGGGCCACAAAACUUGUGGCCUCCCUAACAAAUGCCCUACUUCU